rnacentral:lncRNA from 1 species
UAAACGCACAGUCCAUCUCUCAUCAUCUAUUUAGCUAAUCCACUUGCUUUUCAGCCCAAUAAAUACUAAAUCCAACCCACUUAUCACAUAUUAUCACAAUCGGCCCAACACCAUUCAACCCAUGAUCAGUCCCAAAUAUCCAACCAAACCCGAUUAUAACCAAUCCAUUAAAAUCAAAUACCCCACAGUUUCACCCGAUUUCUCUCUCAUAACCACUCUCUUGCCGCUGCCGCCUCUAAUCACCAUCACGCCACCACUUCAUUAUCUAUUGUACCCAGGCAUCUAGAGCACUACCGCUUCAUCGCCAUAGGCCACCACCACCAACCCAAGAUCAUACACUUCCACCACAGUUACCACACUCAUAUAUUUCCUCAUCCAUCUCAACAAUCUAAAAGCCACAGUCACCACACUCAGUUUUACGUCCACACCAGAGCCAGCACAAGUUACAGUCAACAGAGGUUAAAACCAUUGGACACGAAGGGAAGAACAGAAGCAUAGUUGGGGCUUAUAAGUCGGCAAUUCAGAUCAAGCGGCAUACAAAUAAUCAAAACUAAAAAACAGGGAGUCCUUGAUCUCU